GGGAUGAAAUCUAAAACCUGGAGGCACCCGAGAGUGACCAUUUAUUGAAAAAUUCAUAUCCUCUGGCAUUAUGAGUGAAGAAAAAAAAGAAUAAAAUCAAAAAAGAAAAGCUGCGGUAGAGUUAAGGGAAUAGGAUAAAGCAAAGGGAAGCCAGAAAUGAGAGACAAUAUUGACCAAGUGUUGAGUUGGGGGUGGUGUGCGUAAAGGGUAAUGCAGUCAUGAUAAUUUAUAAUGGUUGUAGGACACGGGAAGGGUCCAAGUAUA
rnacentral:misc_RNA from 1 species